rnacentral:RNase_P_RNA from 1 species
UGAGCUGGCCGGGCGACCGCGUGGAGGAGACUCCCCGAGGAAGGUCCGGGCUCCACAGGGCGAGGUGGUGGGCAACACCCACCCGGGGUGACCCGCGGGACAGUGCCACAGAGAACAAACCGCCGUCGUGCUUCGGCGCGUCGGUAAGGGUGAAACGGUGGUGUAAGAGACCACCAGCGUUCCGGGUGACUGGAACGGCUCGGUAAACCCCACCCGGAGCAAGGUCAAGAGGG